CCCGGCCCGACAUCGCAGUGCGCCCCUUCUCAGGGGACAGUAUCCAACGGGGUGCCAGUACCUGUGUGAGGCGAGGCGGACGCCAUGGCGGCCGAGGCCCUGGCGGUGGAUGCUGUGGCGUCGCGCCUGGCGCGGCAGGAGGAGGACAUCCGCUGGCUGUGGACGGAGGUCCACCGCCUGAGGGACGAGCAGCUGAACGCGCCCGACCGCUGCCAGGCCGAGGGGCCGUGCCUCACGCGCGAGGUGGCGCAGCUGCGGGCCGAGAACCGCGAGCUGCGCCACCGCCUGUACCGCCUGCGGCUGUGCCUCGCGGAGGAGCUGAGCCACCAGGCGCGACGGGAGAGCGCCCUGCGGCAGGAGGCCGGGCGCGCGGCCGCGGGCGCGCAGCCUCCUCCUAGUCAGAGCCAAGAAAAGGACAUUAAAAAGAAGGAAAGCGGGCCUGACAGUGAGAUGAAGAAUCCACCAAAUUUUGUGAAGGAAAGAUUGAAGCUUUUUGAAAUACUGAAGAAAGAUCAUCAGCUCUUACUUGCCAUUUAUGAAAAAAAGGGGAGUACAAGCAAUGUGAUCAAAGUAAGAGUGGCUGAUGGGAAAACAGUGGAAGGGGAAGCUUGGAAAACAACACCUUACCAAGUGGCUGCUGAAAUUAGUCAGGAGCUGGCGGAAAGCACAGUGAUAGCCAAAGUGAAUGGGGAGCUGUGGGACCUGGACCGUCCGCUGGAAGGGGACUCCACCCUAGAGCUGCUCAUGUUUGAGGACAAGGAAGCCCAAGCUGUGUACUGGCACUCCAGUGCCCACGUCCUCGGGGAAGCCCUGGAGCUCCGCUACGGGGGCCUCCUGUGCUGUGGGCCACCCACCGACUGCGGGUUCUACUACGACAUGUUCCUCGAAGACAGGGCCGUGUCCAGCACAGAGCUGCCAGCGCUGGAGACUGCGUGCAAGGCCAUCAUCAAAGAGCAGCAGCCUUUCGAAAGGUUGGAAGUCAGCAAGGAGGCCCUGCUGGACCUGUUUAAGUAUAAUAAAUUUAAAUGCCGCAUCCUGAAGGAGAAGAUUAACACGCCAACGACCACAGUUUACAGGGAACUUCCUUUCCACAUUCAAGUACUAUGGUUCUCUGACUUAAUUGUACUGUGUGGUCCACUAGUUGACCUUUGUAAAGGCCCCCAUGUAAGCCACACUGGAAAAAUUAAAGCGAUAAAAAUUUUCAAGAAUUCCUCAACAUAUUGGGAGGGUAACCCUGAAAUGGAGACGCUGCAGAGGGUCUACGGGAUAUCCUUUCCUGAUGACCAGAUGAUGACAGCCUGGGAGAACCUGCAGGAGGAGGCCAAGACCCAGGAUCACAGGAGGAUUGGGAAGGAACAAGAACUUUUCUUCUUCCAUGAUCUGAGUCCUGGAAGCUGUUUCUUUCUUCCCAGAGGAGCCUUUGUUUAUAAUACACUUAUGGAUUUCAUACGAGAGGAGUACCACCGACGCAGCUUCAUGGAGGUGCUCUCCCCCAACGUGUACAGCAGCAAGCUCUGGGAAACCUCUGGACACUGGCAGCAUUACAGUGACAACAUGUUCACCUUUGACAUUGACAAGGACACUUUUGCCCUUAAGCCCAUGAAUUGUCCGGGGCACUGUCUGAUGUUUGCCCAUCGUCCACGAUCAUGGAGGGAAAUGCCUAUUAGAUUUGCUGACUUCGGAGCUCUUCACAGGAAUGAGCCGUUGGGAACUUUGAGUGGCUUGACCCGCGUCAGGCGCUUCCAGCAGGAUGACGCUCACAUCUUCUGCACUGUGGAGCAGAUUGAAGAAGAAAUAAAAGGGUGUUUGCAGUUUUUGCAGUCCGUUUACUCAACAUUUGGCUUCUCCUUUCAAUUAAAUUUGUCAACAAGACCUGAAAACUUUCUAGGGGAGGUUGAGAUAUGGGAUGAAGCUGAAAAGCAACUACAGAAUAGCUUGAUGGAAUUUGGGAAACCAUGGAAGAUGAACCCGGGAGAUGGAGCAUUUUAUGGUCCUAAAAUUGAUAUAAAAAUCAAGGAUGCUAUUGGCAGAUACCAUCAGUGUGCUACAAUUCAGCUGGACUUCCAACUGCCUGUAAGAUUUAAUCUUACAUAUGUUAGGCAACAUUAUGUGACAUUCAGGAACAUACCAUGCUGUUUCCAGUUUGUAGAAUGAAUUAUUUCUUCAUAUAUCUGAGCAGGACUGGACUCAGGCCCCCCGGCCCCACCCCAAAGCUUCUGUAGGAUCUGACAGAGGAUUUGGCCUGCAGUCAGUCUGCCGUGGCUCUUAGCAGAAAUGAUUGGCAAUGACGAUGUCCAAUGAAAACUCUUUUGAAGGAGGAGAGAAUUCUCAAAUGUAAGUAGAAUGUCAUGAAGGUUUCAGGUCUGUAAACGGAAUUUGGCCAGUGGACUUCUGGAACAAGUAUCAGGAACAUUUUGAAAUAUAUCAGUAGUAUGGGGGCAUAGUGUUUACAAUAUGGCAGUGUGUUUACAGUGGAUGGUGUCAGGAAUGGGUGCAUUUGGACCAAACCAGAUUGGCUGUGAGUUGACAUUUGCUGAUGCUGAGAAAGGGUUAUGUGGGAAUUCAUUAUACUAUUCUCUCUACUUUUGUAUAUGUUUUCAAUAUUCUCUAAUAACUAAUAACUUAUAUUAAUUAAACAAGGUUGGUAAAUUUUUUGCCAGCCACCGUGGUCAUACCAUUAACCCAAAGUAAUAGAAUACCAACAUAUUCUAUUAGAGAGUACAGAAACCCAUUUUCUUUAUUUUUGCAAUGUCUUUGAUAAUUGUUCAAUAAAUUAGUGGUGAAGUAAGCCAUAGUUCAAAAUAAAGUUAAGUUAAAAACAAUGAUUUGUAAGAUUGCCUCUCAAUAUGAGUAAACUGGUAGUUUCGAAUAAAGCUGGUAGUUUAGAAUAAUCAGUAGAUUUGUAAUAGAGAUAGUGAUCUAAUAUUACCUUGCUUUUUCCUAGAUGAUAUAUUUUAUUUCCCUUUGGUUUGUAAAAGAUACCAUAGGGCUUCCCUGGUGGCGCAGUGGUU